AUUUAAGUAGUUUAACUAAAAUUUCGAUUUGUGGUUUCGAAGAUACAAUAUGUUUGUCUUAAAUU